AGAUUACCUGUACGAAAUUUUGGCACGGAUUCUGGGCGGAAUUGGCACGGAAUCAGUGAUUUCUGGGCGGACCAGGGACGGAAACGCAAAAUCCGUGCCAUUCUGUCUCACAAGAAAAAUAUUUUGUUCACUUUUCUGGGCGGAAAACUAGAAAAAUUCCGGCUGGAAUUUUAUUUUGAGCAGAAUUUAUACUUAAACAUUUCAUCUUGGACAGAAUUUUCAACUUUGAAAUUUUUUUUGGUAGGAAUAGUCUUCACUACGGGCCGAAUUCUAUACUUAAACAUUUUUCUUGAACAGAAUUUCACAUAUAAGAUGUCCAAAUCAUAAUUGUACUCCUGUUUUUGCACUUGCAGACAUUGAAAUUUUACCUACUGUACUUAUUUUUUUUGCUGAACCAAUAAUUACAGGUGUAUUUUUAGAAUUAAUAUAUUAUUUUUUUAGACAUUUAAAUAGGCCUUCUUUUUAGAUAAAAAAUGUGGCAUUAAUAAUAUAUUGUCAGACUAAUUUAUAUUUUUUGUACUGAAAAACAACUGUAAUGAUCUUAGUGUAGAAUUUGAAAACAUUCACCUCCAAAAUGCUUAAGUUUAUAAUAUAAAGAUUUUUCAUACAGCUUGUAUUAUAAUACAUUUACUGUAUUAUGAAUUUUAAAUAUGAUUUUAGGACAUCAUCUAAAAGCAACAUUAAAAUAAGAAUGCUUUUUAAAUUUGAAUAUACUAUAGAAUAUAGGGCAGUCACAUAGGGACAAGAUUAUAAGUGUGCUUGCCAUUUUAAAUUCUAAGAAUUCAUGAUUUUGUUAUAAAAAAUAUAAACAAAACAAAACAGUGCAUGAAAUAAUCUCAUAUAUAAUGCCCUUUUAAUCUAUAUAAAAUUGAUCAACCAAUAUGCCCAAUAAUUGCUUUUAUUUACUGUAGGCAAAUAAAUACUACAAUGUAUAUUCUCACUGAGAUUAUAUUCACCCAGAUUUUACACUACACAGAUCAGAGCUCUGAUAAAACUCUACUGACCAGCAGUUUCCCAUCAUCUACGCAUGACUGGUCAUUCCAACAGAUCAGGCUGUUCCAUGUAAUUAUUUUGGGGAGAGAUAACAUUAUAAAUUGCAUAUGUAGAAUUUGUCUAGGACAUAUUGCAUUUUUUUUGUACAAAAAUUUGUAAUUGUUUUUUAAAAUUUAUAUAUAUCUAUUUGUUAUUUGAUAUUUCUUUUACAUUCAAUGAAUGAAAGUUAAGAUGAUGAGUAAAUUAACCCUGUUUUACAUAAUGAUGGCCCGGUCCAUUAUACAGUAAACUGUUGUGAAUUUUGAAUUCUAAGAUAUCUGGGUCAGCAAAAAGAGUGGAGGAUGUACUUGAUAUUUUAACAAUUUUGGAGUAAAGUUUUGUUUAAGAUCUCAAAGUGUUAAAGUAAUUGGUAUGAUAACAUGGGACAAGGAGAUGUAUAACAUAAUCAGGCUGCUCAGGGACUUUUUUAGUGCUGACUGUGAGAUGCCAGGUGUUUAAUAAUGAUGUGCAGUAUUAAUCCUGAAAAGGUGAGCACAACCACAAGAAGUUCUAGGAAACACAGGCAGUGGACUUAAAACAGACAUGGAUUAAAGAAAUAGUAAUUU